rnacentral:lncRNA from 1 species
UUAUUAUUACAUGUAGGUGGAGCUCCACCUCACCACUCUGUUAUUAUUAUUACAUGUAGGUGGAGCUCCACCUCACCACUCUGUUAUUAUUAUUACAUGUAGGUGGAGCUCCUCCUCACCACUCUGUUAUUAUUAUUACUACAUGUAGGUGGAGCUCCUCCUCACCACUCUGUUAUUAUUAUUACAUGUAGGUGAAGCUCCUCCUCACCACUCUGUUAUUAUUAUUACAUGUAGGUGGAGCUCCUCCUCACCACUCUGUUAUUAUUAUUACUACAUGUAGGUGGAGCUCCACCUCACCACUCUGUUAUUAUUAUUACAUGUAGGUGGAGCUCCUCCUCACCACUCUGUUAUUAUU